UACGGAGGGUGCAAGCGUUAUCCGGAUUCACUGGGUUUAAAGGGUGCGUAGGCGGAUUGGUAAGUCCGUGGUGAAAUCCCCGAGCUUAACUUGGGAACUGCCGUGGAUACUAUCAGUCUUGAAUAUCGUGGAGGUAAGCGGAAUAUGUCAUGUAGCGGUGAAAUGCUUAGAUAUGACAUAGAACACCAAUUGCGAAGGCAGCUUACUACACAAAUAUUGACGCUGAGGCACGAAAGCGUGGGGAUCAAACAGG
rnacentral:rRNA from 1 species